GGUCGAGCCAGCUUCACUGGAGGACUGGAAUCUAACCAGAUUUUCCACCUCACUGUCUAUGAGCCAGUGCCCCAUCCCCAGAUCUUGGUCCAGACACAGUCCAUCACAGCAGGCUGGUGCAACAUCACCCUGGAGUGCAGAGCUGGGGAGGUCACAGAGGAGCUGAAUGUGACCUGGGAGAGCAAGGGCCUCCCCAGGGAGCUGGAGCAGAGGGGGACACUGGGACCAGCCCCCAACUUCUGGACCCUGAAUGUGAGCCUGCCUCUGAGCCAGCCCAAUGCCAGCCUCACCUGUGUGGUCAGCAACACUGAGGACCAGAAAACUGUCACCUCAGCCCUUGGAGAGAUCUGUGCCCAUGAUUCACAUGGACAGGCAAUUGCUGGCCCCCUGCGAGCCAUCCUAGGGACCAUCGUGGCCGUGCUGUUGAUCCUCGGGGCUGGACUAUGCCUAUUGAAGGCCAUUGGAAAGAAGACGAUGGA